rnacentral:rRNA from 1 species
GACGAACGCUGGCGGCGUGCUUAACACAUGCAAGUCGAACGGAAAGGCCCUGCCUUUGUGGGGUACUCGAGUGGCGAACGGGUGAGUAACACGUGAGUAACCUGCCCUGGACUUUGGGAUAACUCCGGGAAACUGGGGCUAAUACCGGAUAGGAGCUCCUGCUGCAUGGUGGGGGUUGGAGAGUUUCGGCGGUGGGGGAUGGACUCGCGGCCUAGCAGCUUGUUGGUGGGGUAGUGGCUUACCAAGGCUUUGACGGGUAGCCGGCCUGAGAGGGUGACCGGCCACAUUGGGACUGAGAUACGGCCCAGACUCCUACGGGAGGCAGCAGUGGGGAAUAUUGCACAAUGGGCGGAAGCCUGAUGCAGCAACGCCGCGUGCGGGAUGACGGCCUUCGGGUUGUAAACCGCUUUCGCCUGUGACGAAGCGUGAGUGACGGUAAUGGGAAAAGAAGCACCGGCUAACUACGUG